rnacentral:tRNA from 1 species
GCAGCCUUUGGUCGCGUAGGCGACGAUGGAACUGUUUAUGUUCGUACCAGCAAUGGUGAAGUUGCCGUUGGUUCAUAUCCCGGCAAGACUGCU